GAUGUGAAAGGAGCUGGAGAACAUCUGCUGUAAACCUCCAUCUGCUGGUUCACCUCUUUUUGACAAUUACCUUAUAGAAUAAAGGCAUACAGGCUUGGACUGAUAUGAGGGUGCAAAAUUACCAACAAUCUCAACCUUACCUGCAGAGACCACAAUGAUUUGUCUGAGGCCCACCAGGGAGAGGCAGAGAAGAGAGUGAAAAUCAACUUGAAUGGAAGUUGAGUUUCUUUUUCCUUCCCUGCCAGCAACAAAACCACCACACUGAAAUCAGGACCGGAGACAUGCUCUAAUUCUUUCUGUCUCCUUGUUUUUAGCCCUCUAUCAGCUUGUUUUAUGUUCCUUUCAAU